rnacentral:ribozyme from 1 species
UGCCCAGCACUCCUAUCCCUACCUCCUCGCGUUACUGGCCAGGCUACUAGUAACCUUAGGGAAGAUCGGGUAACCAACCCCAGUGGGAACUCUGGUCGUAUGCUGGCAGGGAAGG